GAGACAUUCCGGGACACUCACUCAUAAGGGGAGUCUGCAGGGGUCACAGAGAACAGUGGAAAGCGAGCCAUGGAAACAUAGCAGUCACUCACAUCACUGCGGGGAAGGUGUAACAGUGGGAAGUAUGCUGGCUUGGAAUCAGACCACGCUUUGAAUUUGAGCUGUGUCAUUCAUCAGAUGAAUGACUUCACAGAAGUCAACUUAACCCUUCUCAUACUCAGUUUUUUCAUCUGUGAAAAUGGCCUUUGUUCAGAUAAAGUUAGAAGAGACAGGUGAAGGCGUCAAGGACAUUGCCCACCUUUGUGCCAGAAGAUGUAUGAUGAUGGGUCAAAAGCAGUCAAGAUGUAUGAUGAUGGGUCAAAAGCAAUCAUGGUCAUCUUGGCUCCCUUCGCCACUCAUCAAUCUGAAGAUGGGCAAGUGCCCCACAGUGUCGAAAGAGAUGUGAGAAUGGAUUGGCUGAGAAAGACUCACAGGGAGAAGAGCUUGUGCCCCUUGCCCAUUCUUCCUGAAUGUGUACAUAUCGCUGAAGUUACAGUAGUCAUCUUGUGAGCAAGAGAAGACAAACAUAAGGAGGACCAACAUGACAGAUGUUAAGACAGAAAUACAGAAAGAACCUGGAUCUCCUAAGGCGUCACUGAGUGAGCCCUUUGAGUUGCCUACCUUGACUUGUUCUUAUGUGAGAAAAAUCCACUCUUCUUUUUUGAAACCCCUGUAAUCCAUUUGUUGUUACUUGCAGCCAAACACACUCAUGAUUGAUACGACCUAUUGCAGUUCUGUGAUUUUGGUAACGUUGACCCCAUGUCAUAGAUGAAGACAGCAAGGCUCGGAAAAAAGAAGUUGACAUAUAGUGGUAGAGCUUAGAUUCCAACUCAAGUUCCCUGAUUGUAAGCCCUUGGCAUUCUCCAAUGACCUAACCAUUCUUAUUAUUCCUUCCUACCAAAAUAUGUAUUAUUCUGUUUUCCCUUAUAUUAAGGAAGAAGGACUUGAGAAGUCCCAUCUGUUCUGAGCUUUACUUGUGCCUCUGUUGUCAGCCAGCUGACUUUCAUUUCCUAAUUAAGUAGUUAAUUCUACCCACAUUUACCUGUAUAUAUAAAUAAAACCUUUGGACUUUGAUAUA